AAGCGGCAGCUCCCUGGCCAACACCCGGCCAGAUUCUGAGCCUUCUCCACCUGCCAGGUUAGAAUCUUCUCUUUCUGGGCAUUGCCCGGUGAAACCCCAGUUUCUCGCUUGAUGCAAACCUCUUCUCUCCUCCCUGUGCUCAGGUGGACCUUCAGAAGCUCUAUGCCGAUGAGCUGGUGGGUGGAGGGCUCCCCUGGCCCUCAGUUCUCCACUGUUGCGUAGGGAGAGAGAGAAAGAGGAAUCUGCUCCCGACCUUCCUGGGCCAGGGAGCCCCAGAACCACGGCUCCUUUUCUGUGAACAGUACCAGGGGUCCAACUUGCUCACCAACGGAGUGUUCACUUGGGGCACUCCCCGUGCUCAGCAAGGCCCCACACUUGGUUUAACAUGCUGCUGCCAUGGUCUCGAAAUUCUUAACAAUUGUGGAACAAGGGGCCCUGCAUUUGCAUUUUUCACCCAGACCGUUACAACGUACGUAGCCGGUCCUGCCUGCCAGACAUGCGUGUUACAGCUGCGUCCAGCUGGCCACAUCACUCCACACUGCGCUCCGCCCCCAACGCUGCAACAGUCCCCAAAAGCCUGAAGCCGCAGACUCAUCCACUCUCCAGGCCGGCUCUCCGGGCUGUGGGCACACGUGAGAUUGCCCUCUGUACGUGAGGGACCAGGAACCUCAGGGUGCGGGUAUCAGCCUCUCCUCACUAGGCAGCCCCCACCCCACCAUCCUCAGGAGCCCCCUGGGCCGGACGGCGGGUCCCCUGGCUAAGCUGAACUCCAAUGGGACACUGAAAUGCCAGCCUCUCCCUCCUGCCGGCUCCCUUGAUUCCUGAACAAGGGAUUCCUUCAUCCUUCCGGGGUCCCUGCCCUUCCUUCCAGCUCUGCUGCAGACGUGAGGGAAGAUGCUCUCUCCCUCAAAUCUGUGCAGUCCCCAAGGCUCUCCCCCACCGGCCCCCACCUCUUCUCCUCUGCACGUGGGCGAGGGCCUUUGGGGAGGAUGUGGGUCUGACAGGGCCCGGCCGUGAGCCCUGCAGUGACAAGGAGGUCUGGGAGGGUCUGCCACUCGACUAGCCUGUGGGAGACCCAGCCCCUUGGGACAGGCAAGUCCCCACCAGACAGCCGGCAACAGAGCAGCGACUGCUCUGAAGAAGGUGCCAGAGGGGAUGUGGCAGAGAAGAGGACACGCUGUCGGGACGGUGGCCAUUCCAGUGGAAGAGGCCGAGGACGACCAGGAGGACCAGUCACCAGUAAUAAAAAAAGUUGCACGAAACGUGGGUUUCGACCUGGUUCUCAAGAGGCGACCUGAGGAAGUAGAUGAAACUGACCAGACUUGGGGUAUAUGUGGAGGAGAGGAGAGGGGAGGGGAGGGCAGGGGAGGGGANNNNNNNNNNNNNNNNNNNNNNNNNNNNNNNNNNNNNNNNNNNNNNNNNNNNNNNNNNNNNNNNNNNNNNNNNNNNNGGGGGUGCAGGGAAGCGGCAGAGGGAGGCGGGGUUGAGUGAAUCACCAUCUGUGCUGUAAGGCCCCUAAUUUUCUCUGGCAGUGGCGCUGGGGCAGGAGAGGCAGUAAACAGACCAGCAGCUUCUGGUCUUUUUCGGCCUCCCACUGGUCCUUGAAGACCAGCAGAGGCAGAAGGGGGGGCGGGGGCGGGGGUGGGGUGAGGUGGCUCAAAGGCUCCGGCCUGGCCCCGCCUGGCUUUGGCAGGAUCCAAGUGGCUGAGGGACCAAGGUGCCCCUCCUUGUGGCAUUCUCCAGUGAGAGCGGCCACAGGGGGCUCCGUCUUGGGGGGAGCUCGCUCCAGGCCUUAAUCUCUCCAGCUUGGACGCCGGCUCCGGCUCCGAGGGCGGUGUUGGCCUCUCCGCCCAGGGGCCUGUGAGGUUUUCCAACCACCUUCUCUGUUUUCUGGGUCCCCUACCUUGGCGGCUCUUUCUUGGAACCACAGAUCAUUUGCUUUGGACACUUUCUUCAAGUAUAGGCUGUGUUGAGAGUUAACACCCUCGCUGCCAAGAAUUUGGAGAUGGUGGAUAAGAAAAUAGAUAGCCCCAGGGUUCGUGGGUGGCUUAGUCAGUUGAGCGUCUGACUUCGGCUCAGGUCAUGAUCUCAAGGUUUGUGGAUUCCAGCCCCAUGUCGGGCUCUGUGCUGACAGCUCAGAGCCUGGAGCCUGCUUCAGAUUCUGUGUCCCCCUCUCUCUCUGCCCCUCCCCUGCUUGAGCUCCCUCUCUCCCUCUCCCUCUCUCUCUCUCUCUCUCAAAAGUAAAUAAACAUUUUUUUAAAGUUAAAAAAAAAAAGAAGAUAGGUAUCCCCUAUCUAGACAAACACCCUCUUGAGAUGGAUAGAUAAUUCCGAUGAAUACAAGUAAUUUCCAACUUUAUAAUAUUCACUCACAAUAACCCAUACUCAGACACUAUUUCAUGGCAUUCCUGAACCAGAGGGAUUGUCUUCAUGAGGUGCGGUGGUAACGGGGAGGGGAAGGGGGCAUAUACAGUGGUGUGCUGGGUAAUGUUGACCUGGCUCUUGCGGGGCGGAAGGCAGGGAGGCUCUGAUUUGUACUGGGUGCUGGUUUCCGUGGUGUAAAUCCUCCCACAGUGGCUGGUUUCAAGCUACCAAUAUGAUGUCACCCAGUGCAGACUUGGGAAGAGACGUCUAUGUUCAGCCCUCCAGAGCCAACAUGAGCAACUCCAGCACAACACUGGGUGGGUGGCAACCUCCAGUGGGGCUCCAGCGGGUGGAAACCUCUUUGUGGCCAGCGCCCAAGGAUGGGGGGAGUGGAGAAUCAAAAUGAUGGGACAUCUCGGUGAUCAAGGAGGAAGAGAGUUUCAGAGAGGAAAA
rnacentral:lncRNA from 1 species